UCACUAACAUACGAAUAGGGCUUACCUUACGCAUCCACUUGCAAAGAAAUCUGCUCAAAAUGUCCAAAUUCCCAAGAACGAUUUGCGAGGUUUGAAUACAUUGAGAUGAGACUUCCAGCGUCUCAUCAUCAAUAACGCAAUUGAUAGCAUGAUAACAUAUUUUUAGACAAUCUUUCCACAUGUUAUAACCAUUAACAUCAUCAUGUACAGCAAAAAAUAAAAUAGCCAGAAAUACAGCACAUGCAGAUAAAAUGAAAAGAUUGUGAUACCUUGGCGUAUGCCGUAUAGGCAACUUGAAUUCAGUUGUUAACAAGUUCUGCUGCCAGCAUUUCAAGAAUCAAGAUCCCAACAAAGGGGUAGUACCCUUAUUACUAAAAGUAAGUCUACAGUAGGACAUGCAUAUCCAGAGAUCCCAACAAAGGGGUUGUACCCUUAUUACUAAAAGUAAGUCUACAGUAGGACAUGCAUAUCCAGACAUAACAUAACAUAACGUAGAAAAGUUAUAUGCCCGUGUUGAGAAAGCUUCACUUCCAGUAUUUUACACAAAAUAGAUGUGCAUAAAAUCAAAUGGCCUUGUAAUGAUAAAUGAAAUGAAAACAAAACCAAACAGACGUGCUCAUAC
rnacentral:lncRNA from 1 species